rnacentral:lncRNA from 1 species
UUUCUUCUUUCCCCUCUUGCUUUCCAGCUUUCUUUUAAUCAACACGUAUUUUAAUAAUGAAAAAUAAUCACAUACUUUAAAAUAAUUACUUGAACCUAAACAAAAGGACAGACACCACUCCCUCACUUGGGCAGGAGUUUUAACCUCUGCCCACAGUCACCGUAAGCCGAGCUGUCUUGGGGGUGCUGCCAGUGACCAGCGGCCUGUGUGGGGAUCUGGCUGGAGGAGGGUUCACCAAGAAGGGAGAGCCAGAAGCCUCUUGACUCAACUCAAAAAGUCCAGGGUGACGCCGCGCCCACCAAAGUCGUGUGUGCCUGAGGCUCUGCGGAAUUGAGACUGGGCUGAACCACAGAACAAGAGCUCCAGCAGCUCUCGGGAAACCAGCGUCCAUCUGGAACCCAAACUAAAAAGCACAACUGGACCUCAGGCUGUGAAGAAGGACAAGGGCGCUCAGCACUGAAAUCUGACAUGAGAACAGGAACAAAGCCUGUGGAAACCCGCUUUCUCUCGAGCAAUGACAGCGCGGAUCCACAGGCUCACUCAUGCUCCCCAUCAACUAGCAAAGCUGUGGCACCACACGGGCUGCGGGCACCGGUCCUGCCCAUCACAGGACACCUGGCACCCUCGGGUGGAGGGGCUCAAGGACCACCGUGAGUCUGGGGUCUCCUCUGAGUGGGCAAGGAGCAUGGAGCAGGCCACGUAUGAGGGUGGAUGCGGCAUUCAAGGGGCAUGUGGUUAGGCCUCCUUUCUCCAGCACAGCUGUCUCCAGAACACCACGCCAGGACGGAGAAGUCCAGGGACGGCAGAACCCGUGUCCUUUGUGGACUGUGUGAUGAGGGAGCCGAAAGAGGCAGCUGAGGCCACCAGACUUGGGAGCCUGCUGGAGGGGCUGGGAUAGCAGGCCCUGGGCCCCUGAUGGAGGGGUGCUGGUGGCUGUGGCCAGGACCUAAGGAACAACCUGGGGUGGCAGCGGGCAGGGACAAGGCUGCUUCUAGGAGGGAGAAGCAGGGGCCCGGCCCACGCCUGCUGCUGCAGCGAAGCCUCCUGCAUGGGCUCACUCAUGCAGGACAGCAGGAGCAGAAGAAGCCCUCACCUGACCCCAUGCCCCUGUCCCCACCCCUCCCUUCCUAUCCCCACCCUCCCCAGGGCCAC